AUACUUACCUGGCAGGGGAGAUACCAUGAUCACAAAGGUGGUUUUCCCAGGGUGAGGCUUAUCCACAGCACUCUGGAUGUGCUGAGCCCUGCUAUUUCCCCAAAUGUGGGAAAAUCGACUGCAUAAUUUGUGGUAGAGGGGAACUGCGUUCAUGAUCUCCCCU
rnacentral:snRNA from 1 species